GCCGGGCGAGGUGGCGGGCGCCUGUAGUCCCAGCUACUGGGAGGCUGAGGCAGGAGAAUGGCAUGAACCCCGGAGGUGGAGCUUGCAGUGAGCUGAGAUCCGGCCACUGCACUCCAGCCUGGGUGACAGAGCGAACCCGUCUCAAAAAAAAAUGGUGGAAGAUGGGCUAUCAUUUUAUUGUUGUUAUUUAUUCUGCAUUGCUUGAAAUUUUUUUUGUUUGUUUGUUUUUUAAAUGGAGUCUCGCUCUGUCACCCAGGCUGGAGUGCAGUGGCCGGAUCUCAGCUCACUGCAAGCUCCGCCUCCUUCUCUGCCUCAGCCUCCC
rnacentral:sRNA from 1 species